CGGGCCGAGCGGCGGGAGCCGCGGCGCCCCCUGUCUCGCGCGCCCCGGGCCCGGGGGCUCCAGUUCCUCGGGGCGCCGCGCGGGAGCGGGGAGCCCGGCGACCUGGACCCGGAGGGGCGCGCCCGCGCGUUCUCGGGGACCUGCCCCGCUGCCGCCGGGAGCCGGCCGGGAACUCCGGGUUCCGCAGCCGCCCGAAGCCGCAGACCGGCACCCCGCGGCUCUCCCGUCCCUCCGGGUAGCAGGGAGGGGGGCUGACGGCCGCACCCCGCAGGGCCGGGGGCAGAGGGUCGGCGCGCUCGGAGGGAGAGGCGGGGCCCGGACGUAUCACGAAGUGCAGACGCGCUGUAUUUCCCGGUCCCGCCGCGCGCAGGCGGCCGCAGCGUUCAGGGUGACGGCGGCACAAAGGGCGAGCGGACACGCACCCGCGGGACCCCUUCCCGGGGGCGCCGACCGGGACGAAGGGGCAGCGAGGAGCCCUUCCCAGGCGCCUCCCGCGGGGUCGCCCCGAGGCCGCGACGGCACCUCCAGUCGCCGCAACCCCGCUCGGCCCCGACGGCCCGGGUCUCCAAGGCAGGGGGCGGCCCCCGGUCCAUCCCGGCCGCUGCGCGCGGGUCCUCCCGGGCCGCCUCACUUUGGGGGGCUCAGGGUCCGCACGGGGGACCCCUGCACGUAAGCCAGGACGGCGUUCUGCAGGAAGCUCGCCCGCUGGGCCUCCUCGUCCCGGAUGCGCGCGAUCUCCGCCUCCCGGAGCCUCAGCUUCUCCCGCAGAGACGCGUUCUCGCUCUCCCUGUCCAGCAGCGCCUCCCGGUGGUCGCUCGCCAUCACUGCCGGGCGAGGAGCGCCGUGAGCAGGCACGUGGCCGGGCCCGGCACCAGGAGACCUGGCCGGCCCUGCUCUCUGGGUAACCCCGCGGCCCGUCAGCGGGCGCCGGGAGGGCGAGGUCCUGGCUCACCUUUGAGCUGGCGCUCCAGGGCCGCCGCCUUCUCCCGCAGCGCCUCCUGAGCCGCCAGCUCCGCCUGCAGCCGGCCGUUCUGCUCCUGCAGCUCCACGCGCACCUUGCUCACCUCGGCCACCCUUUCCUGGUCCUUGUGGCUCAGGUCCUGAAGGCACGAAGGCUGGGGAGUGAGGCGAGGGGUCGGGGGCUAGCACCCUCGCACCCCGCGCCGGAGCCCCGGCUACCUGCUGCAGCUCUUCCAGGCGCCGCCGCAGGCCCUCCAGUUGCAGGCUCAGCUGGCUGGCCCGGGUCUGGGCCUCGACCACGGCCUGCUUCUGCUGCAGGCAGGCGCCCUGCGCCUCAUCCCGCGCCCGCGCUAGCAGCCGCAGCUUGUCUUCCAGGUGAGCCAGGCGCUGUUGCUGCGGGCACAGGAGCCGGCACGGAGCACAAGGUGUCAGCCUGAGCUCACCUUCUGAGAGGUUUGCAUGGGCACGACCCCACCCCUCCGCCAGACUGGCUGCUCAAGACAGUACACCUCAUCUUGCUCUGAACCCGCUCCUGGCAGGUACCUCCUGCAGAUGCCCGCUAGGCUCCCCUCCUCCCUCUCCAGUCAUGCCUCCCCUCCAGUUCCCCCAUGCAGUCACAGGCUGCAGGGAGGGGCCAAACCCCACCACCAUCACAGGGCUGGAUGCAAAGUUGAAGCCUCCCAGCACUGUGCAGGGGGACACAUGUGUGACCUGACCUCAACACCACACUCCCACCUCCCCACUCAAAGCCCCAGCUCUGGAGCCUGCAUGUGGUUAGCAAAGCCAGGCAGCCUGGCUCCCCAGAGGGUGGCGGGCAUCUGUGGGCUCACCUCCUCCAGGCGGGCCUGGCUCUUGGCCUUGAUCAGCUCCUCCUCGGCCUGGCCACGCUCACUGAGUGCUGCUGCCUUCACCCGGCUCAGCUCCUGCACACAGACAGCGUUCUGCCAGCCUGUUCUCCUGUCCCUGGCCCACAGCCCUUCUCUCUCUGGCCCAUCCAGCCAACCCUAGCUGAAGGGGCUCUUCUCUGCCAGCCUCCUGAGGGCCAUGCAGCUGCCCUGCCACCUGGCCCACUGGGCGGGUUUCCUACAGCCAAGGGAGUUCGAAUGCCACCUACGUCCCUGUAGCUUCUUGGGCACACUGGUGGGUCAGUCUCAAGGUGGGGCCUAUGAGGCUCUGAGACCAGAAAGGGCUCUCAGGGGUCCUGAGGCUGUGAACACCAGGGGCUGCCUCCCUUGUUCAGCCCAGGGCUAAGGCAGAGCUCAGCCCCGCCUGGUGGACACCCACCUCCUCCAGGGACAGCCGCACGGCCUCCAGCCUCUGCACCCGCUCCUGCAUGGCCCUCUCGCUCUCUUCCAGGUGGCGGCUCAUGUGCUCCACCUGUUCAGGUGCAGGGGUUGUGGGGCCGGGAUAAAGAGCAGGGCCCCCUCCCUUUCCCCCACGGACUCCCCACUCUGGAAGGCAGGCGUCUCUUGGGAACCUUGUUCAUUCUGAGAAAGUGCUGCCUCGGAUGGCCUAGCAGGAACCUGCCCUAGCACGUGUACCCUGAACGGGCGGGGCUGGGCGUCUCUUCAACACCAGCCUGUCCUAUGGCUGAGGCAUGGAUGGGGUCCCCUCCCAGCCCCAGUAAGAGGUUCUGGGUCUGACGUCUGCUCAGGCUGGCACAAGACAGCCGCCCCGUGACCCAGGGUGACAAGGGAGCUCCCACCAGGUGUGUGCUCUGGGGCACCUGCAUGACACCAAGGGCAGACACUGAAGUGCGUUAGAGGCCACAUGAGGCCAAGUGGGAGGGCACCUCCUUGACGCGCAGGCUCUCCGAGUCCUCCAGGCUCUGUCUGCACCUCCUCUUCUCCAUGUCUAGGCGCUCUGGAAGUCCAGCGGGGCAGAGCAUUUGUGAGCAUCCCCUGGAGGCCCCCGUCCCUGGAGUGCCCACCCCCAGACUCCUCCGCAGCAGGCCGGCCCGUGCCCACCCUCGGCCUGGAUGGCCCGCAUCUUCAGCUGGGCUGACAUGCUGGUCAGCUCCUGCCUGGUCUGGAACAGCUGCUCCUGCUGACACUUGACCUUCCGCUCCAACUCGUCUACCUGGAAAGCCGGCAGCAUGGAGGGAAGCUGUGGCCCAGCCCUGCUGCGCCCACCCUGGGCUCCCUGGCUCCACCCACAGCUACCUGGUUUUGCAGAAGCAGAUUUUUCUCGUUGGCGGCAGACAAGUCUCUGAGGAGCUUAGACUCCCGCUCCGCAGCUUCCUGGGUGGGGGCGGGGGGUGCGCAGUGAGGGCCCCUCGGCCGCCACGCACCUCCCAGCCCACCCCCGCGCCCUGCCACCCACCUGCUGCUCCAGCCUGCGCUCCUUGGCCUGCCUCUGUGACAGGCUCAGCUGCUCCUGCUCCGCUGUGGCCAGGAGCACCUCCAGGUCCUGGGCCUUCUGCUCCGACAGAGCCAGGGCAGCCUCUGUCAUCUGCAGCCUGCAGAGAGGAAGGGCAGCACACCCAGCCCACCUGCCUUACAAAGGCCUCAUUGUUCUCACUGUCACUGGGAACCUCGUCAAUGCCAGCCAGCACCUGCCUCCUCCAGGAAGGCUUCCAGGUACCAGCCACUCAGGGAAGCUCCAGAGCCCCAAGAAAGGGAAGGCGGGCGCACCGUGGGGCUGGGGAAGGCAGGACAUGGCAGGACCUCCAGCCACGGGCAGCUCCGAGGCCAGUGAAGGCGCCAUCCUCACCUGCUUGGACUUCUCCUCCCGAAGGUGCUGGACCUCCCUGCUGAGCACGACUCACGUGCAGGGCCGCAACUCAGGCUGACCACGGAGCAAAUGCCAAGAAGCCCCUCCCGCCACCUGAAGGAUCAGCACUGCCACCAAGGCCAGCGCCGUGAGCCAGAAGGCCUCAGCUUCCGCAGCUACGAAAUGGGCACCCCCACUGCACAGGCCGUAAGAACUCGUGGAGCGCACGGGGAGUCUUGGGCAGUGCCCACGUGUGGCGAGCGCCAGUCAAGUGCUCCUUCCGAUUCCACGGGCUCUCGGGCUGCUCUCAUCAUGAGUUCUGGUCCCAGGCCCAGCACCCCACCCUCUGAGAGAGGCCCAUGUGUCGUUCCGCACAGCCACGCACCGUACCCACGGCUCUGAGGACGUCUCCGGGGAUGUUGUUCCCAGCCAGGUCUAGCCUCCACAGGGUUCUGUUGCUGGGGAGACAGUUCAUGAGGGCCCGACCCCCCAGGAGGCCAAUGUUAUUCCAGCGCAGGUCUGGAAGGAAACCUGUAGUCACCAGAUGGAAAGCACCUGGUGGAGGGGGAGCUGGCCUGGCUGGUCCCCUAGCCCCUCACUUCCAAGAGCACAGGCAGUCUCGGAGGGACGAGGGAGCCCGAGGCACCCUGAAGGCCUCACCCAGCUGCUGGAGGGUGGCAUUGCCCUUCAGGGCCAGGGCCAGCUCCUCGGCGCCCUUGUGACUGAUCUGGUUGCUGCGGAGAUCCAGCCGCUGCAGAGUGCCAUUGACCGCCAGGCCCCCACAGAAGGUGGCGAAGGCCUCAUCCCACGUGCCCAGGCUGUUCCAUUCCAGCGUGAGGCUGCAGGAAGGAUAGGAGCCAGUGUUCGCCCAGGGGACCGCCGAGCCCACGGGGUCCAGGGUCUGGGGACGGUGUCGGCUUGGGCUCUGACGGGCUGGAGCCUCUGCCUGCUUGCUGCCGUUUGUGAAACACAGCAGACAACUGGCAAUUGUGAACCACGUGCUCUGGGGCCAAUCCUCAACCACACAGAGAGCGGGCCUGGGGUGACGGUGGGGUCCGGACCACCACCCACCUCUGAAUGGACUUGUUCUGUUGGAGAAGUUUUCCCAGAGCCUCAGCCCCGGUGGCUCGAAGGUUGUUGCCCUAGGACAGAAACAGGCUGGUAGUCGCUCCCCUCGCCCUGACUGGUUCUGAAUUUCCGCUCAUGCCCCAAGGGCCCCGGUCAGCCAGUGGACAAGGCUGGGGUGCCCCCUGGGCGGGGGUGCAGCCUCCCUUCCUUCAGGGGGCUUCCUGGGGCUGGCUUGCUUGUUUCUGACGUGAACUCUUGCUCCAGAGACAGUCACUCAAAUAGGAGGCCGACGGAGAACGGCCUGGGGCACUUACAGUUUCCAGCCACUUGCCCAGACCCCAGGCCCCCGAGACCUGGCACCUUCCCACUCUCCUCUUGCCCUCGGGUGGCACACUCGGACACCCAGAAUGCAGGUAUCUCACCUUUAGGUCCAGAAAGCGCAGCACGGUGUUGGCACACAGGCCUCGGAGCAGCAGUGUGGCCCCUGUGUAAGGGAGGCCGCGAUUACUCUCUGGCCCUGCUGACCCCAAGACCCCUCCCUGUGGGCCCCUUUUCAGGGCAGCUCCCUAGACCCAGGGAAGGACAACUGUCCAGGUGGUCUGGGUUGGCGCUGGCCGAGAGUCUCGCUGCGAGGCCGUGUUUGAAACACCUGCAGCCCCUGCAGCACGAGGCCGCGUCGGCACGCAGGGAACCAGGUAAGUCGCGGCAGGUUAAGGCCUCUUCCCCCGUCAUAAAGAGGAACUGCCCUCCAC